UACGAAGGGGGCUAGCGUUGCUCGGAAUCACUGGGCGUAAAGCGCACGUAGGCGGAUCUUUAAGUCAGGGGUGAAAUCCUGGAGCUCAACUCCAGAACUGCCUUUGAUACUGGGGAUCUCGAGUCCGGGAGAGGUGAGUGGAACUGCGAGUGUAGAGGUGAAAUUCGUAGAUAUUCGCAAGAACACCAGUGGCGAAGGCGGCUCACUGGCCCGGUACUGACGCUGAGGUGCGAAAGCGUGGGGAGCAAACGGAUAGAA
rnacentral:rRNA from 1 species